CAGUAGCCGCGGUAAUACGUAGGGUGCGAGCGUUAAUCGGAAUUACUGGGCGUAAAGCGUGCGCAGGCGGCUUUGCAAGACAGAUGUGAAAUCCCCGGGCUCAACCUGGAACUGCAUUUGUGACUGCAAGGCUAGAGUGCGGCAGAGGGAGAUGGAAUUCCGCGUGUAGCAGUGAAAUGCGUAGAUAUGCGGAGGAACACCGAUGGCGAAGGCAAUCUCCUGGGCCUGCACUGACGCUCAUGCACGAAAGCGUGGGGAGUAAACAGGAUUAGAUACCCGUGUAGUCCCUGUCUCUUAUACA
rnacentral:rRNA from 1 species